rnacentral:rRNA from 1 species
AUUGAACGCUGGCGGCAGGCCUAACACAUGCAAGUCGAGCGGAUGAAGAGAGCUUGCUCUCUGAUUCAGCGGCGGACGGGUGAGUAACGCCUAGGAAUCUGCCUGGUAGUGGGGGACAACGUUUCGAAAGGAACGCUAAUACCGCAUACGUCCUACGGGAGAAAGCAGGGGACCUUCGGGCCUUGCGCUAUCAGAUGAGCCUAGGUCGGAUUAGCUAGUUGGUGAGGUAAUGGCUCACCAAGGCGACGAUCCGUAACUGGUCUGAGAGGAUGAUCAGUCACACUGGAACUGAGACACGGUCCAGACUCCUACGGGAGGCAGCAGUGGGGAAUAUUGGACAAUGGGCGAAAGCCUGAUCCAGCCAUGCCGCGUGUGUGAAGAAGGUCUUCGGAUUGUAAAGCACUUUAAGUUGGGAGGAAGGGCAGUAACUUAAUACGUUGCUGUUUUGACGUUACCGACAGGAUAAGCACCGGCUAACUCUGUG